GACGAACGCUGGCGGCGUGCCUAAUACAUGCAAGUUGAGCGCUGAAGGUUGGUCCUUGUACCAACUGGAUGAGCAGCGAACGGGUGAGUAACGCGUGGGGAAUCUGCCUUUGAGCGGGGGACAACAUUUGGAAACGAAUGCUAAUACCGCAUAAAAACUUUAAACACAAGUUUUAAGUUUGAAAGAUGCAAUUGCAUCACUCAAAGAUGAUCCCGCGUUGUAUUAGCUAGUUGGUGAGGUAAAGGCUCACCAAGGCGAUGAUACAUAGCCGACCUGAGAGGGUGAUCGGCCACAUUGGGACUGGGACACGGCCCAAACUCCUACGGGAGGCAGCAGUAGGGAAUCUUCGGCGAUGGACGAAAGUCUGACCGAGCAACGCCGCGUGAGUGAAGAAGGUUUUCGGAUCGUAAAACUCUGUUGGUAGAGAAGAACGUUGGUGAGAGUGGAAAGCUCAUCAAGUGACGGUAACUACACAGAAAGGGACGGCUAACUACGUG
rnacentral:rRNA from 1 species